AAGUCGUAACAAGGUUUCCGUAGGUGAACCUGCGGAAGGAUCAUUAACGAACAAAAGAUUUACUUGUAUAAAUCUUUUGGGAUCAACCAAAAACCUGUAAGAAAAUAGUAGUAUUCAAUUCAAUACACUAUAUACAUUAAAUAAAUAUUACAAAACUUUCAACAACGGAUCUCUUGGUUCUG
rnacentral:misc_RNA from 1 species